AGCAGGGUCCUAGACUGUCCGCUUCCUCAUGGGAGGGGAUGUGCCGUUUAUGAUGGAGGAGCCUGCAUCUGGCUGAAUUAUGUUCUGCAAAUGAGCCCAUCUUAACAAGUGAUCCAGAUAAUUGCUAAUGAUAUUGAAUAGCAUCGGGCUUAGAACAGAUCCAUGGAGGUACCCCACAAGAUGAUGAUUCUUUGUUUAAAAUUAGUUUUUGAGAUUUAUCAGUUAAUCAGUUUUUAAUCCAUUUCAUAUGUGCUACAUUGAUUUUUG